rnacentral:misc_RNA from 1 species
CUGUAGCAUCAAGAUCGAGAUCAAGGUCUGAUAGUGAGUAAACAUCGAAGUGUCGGUGUAAAGUGAACGUUUAUUAAGUAACGUGCGAGAUGAAUGGGCAAAAGUUUUCCCUUUCGUUCAGCAAGAAAAUAGAGAAGAAAUCGUUACAGCCCUCAGCCUUGGGAGGUGAGAGCAGAACGGAGGUGAAGCGCACCCCUCAGGCCCUGCUCGCUGUGGACCAGGACUCCCUCAAAGUAAAUGAGAAUGCAGAGGAGGAGGAGCUUGUCAUCCCACUCCUGCAGGCCAAGAGAUCUGCAGUGUUGAGUCGUCUGGCCAAACUGCAACAGGGGGAUGGAGGGAAGGAAGGUGAAGGAAAGAAGGAAGAGGAGACUACUCAGGAGAAUCAGGAAGACAGCAAACCCCUUACACUGGAGGAAAAAGCUGAACAUGCUCUUUUGGAAGAGAGCAAGAGGAGGUUGGAGGAAUGGACUGCACGGGAUGUCAAGAAGGACAUUACCAUCCCCAUUGAAGACCAACUUUCAGCUCCACUGACAGACAUUGGCAAGGAGUCCACACUGGAUGACUAUGAUGAGAUUGCAGUGGAAUCUUUUGGUGCUGCUAUCCUGAGAGGCAUGGGAUGGAAGAAAUCUGAGGGCAUUGGUGGCAGAGAGAAAAAAGUGAUAGAUAUUAUUGAUCCCUCCACCAAGACUCUAGGCUCCAGUGAGGGAAAGCAAACCACAACACAGAAGAAAGAAGGUGAAGAGUUAGGGGAGGAUGAGGAAGAGCUUCCCGUUGUCAAAGGUGCCUAUGUCUUCCUCCACAGUGGCCGUCAUCGAGGAACUUAUGGGGUGGUUGAGGUGGUAGAUGAGGACCAUGUACUCAUAAGGGCAGCAGUGGGACAGGCAGUGCUAAGGGAGGUGGAGGGCAACUUGCGUGUGGCCACUCAGAAGGAAUACCGAGAAUCUUCACGUGUCAUCAACAAGGAAAUGUAUGAUAAAUUUAAGGAAGCUGAAGUGAAGAACAAUGAAGCAAAGAAGAAAAUGCUAUGUGAGGAAGAUAAAGAAGGUAGUGGGAGUGAUAGAGACAGAAAGAGGUCUCAGAAAACAAGGAGUAAAGAUAGAAAGGAAGACCACCGAGAUGCAGACUCUGAAUGUGUCAAAUUGAAGCAAGAGGGUAGUGAAUGGGAUAAUAACAGAAAACAAAGGGAAAGUGACAAUGAGCAGAAGAGAGACAAGAAUGAAGGGAAGAGAGAUGAAGCAGAAGUUAGGCCAAGAGAGAACAGUAAUAAACAGAGUGAAAAAUACAGAGACAGGGAUGAUAAGAGACAGAGAGACCGAGAUGAAGAGAGGCAGAGGAGACACAGGGAAAAGGAAUCAGAGAAGCAAAGAUAUAAGGAGAGGAAACUAGUGUACAGCAGAGAAGAAAGGAAAGACAAAUAUCAGAACAAAAGAGAGAGUGACAGGAAGGCACAGGACCCACAGGAAAGGCUGUACAAAGACACACAAGCAUCAGGAGGCAAGAAACGACAAGAGGAAUUCUCUGAAGCACAAGAGACAAAGGCAAAGCAGCAGAGAAUGAUCACACCACCUUGGGUCCAGGAAAAUUUACGAGUGCGAAUUAUUAACAAGAACUACAAAGGAGGGAAAUACCAUAAGCAAAAGGUAGUGGUGGUGAGUGUGGUGACGGCUGAGAGCUGUGAGUGUGUUGUGGAUGGUGGCCAGCUCCUGGAUGGUGUUGACCCAGCCUGGCUGGAAACAGUGAUCCCCAAACAACCUCCAAUGGUGGUGAUGGUGGUACGGGGACGAUACAAUGGACAGUUACAUCAUAAAGGUUCGAGUGCUGAUGCUGUUCUGAUACGUGAAGUGAAGGAUUGCAGGUCUCUGAAGCUGAAAGCUUGAUGUGACUACAUGCAACUGAUCAAUAACAUGUUACUUAGGUUGAGUCAUCCUGUUUGGAAGGGACGCAUCUUACAGCUACACAAGGAUCAGGAGAAAGCAUCCAUUCAGCUCCUUGAAGAUGAGACCACCAUCCUCAAACUGCAUUAUGAUGACAUCUGUGAAUAUGCGGUCAGAUAAUGAACCAAUGA